rnacentral:tRNA from 1 species
AGCUCAGUUGGUUAGAGCACCACCUUGACAUGGUGGGGGUCACUGGUUCGAGUCCAGCA